AAGAUCACGUGGUGCUUUUGCAUACUCCGUUAGAGGGAAGCACAUAUAAAUCUCGAGCAAACAUGACGGCCAACAAUUUCUUCGUAAAUACAUAGCUUAUUGUCAUUGAAGCAAAGUUGAUUAACUAAAACGAUGCAACAGUUUUUGAAAUGUAAUCUAUGACCCUGAGUGUUCUUGAAAUCGGUGGUCUCUGAGACAGUAGCAAUGCUGUCUCGAAAGUGAGUUCAUAACUGUUAUAGAAUAUGGAAAAAAGCAAAUAAUCUUAUUUAAUAUUUUCAAAAUGUGGAUUUUUAUGAAAUGUGAGCAUCAUCAUGUUUUUAGUGAACGAAACAAUUAGGUUACAUUGACAAGAAGAACACAGUUUUAUACUGAAUAAUAUUAAGUUUAUGUUGAUCAAAAAAGAACAGUAAGCCAAGAUGAACUAUGAUUGUUCGAACUUUUAUAUGGUAAUAUUAAAUAAUCAUUGCAUAACUCUAACAGAUUAUUUUUUAUACAUACUUGUGCAUAUGUAUAGUGUAUAAAGUAAUUUGUUUAUAUUCACAAAAUGCCUCACAUAACACGAAAAUGGGAACUUUUCCCAGGCAGAAAUCGAUUUUGUUGUGAUGGUAGAGUAAUGAUGGCACCACAAACUGGAGUUUUUUAUGUGACUGUGUGUCUCAUUGCUGGAACAAGUGGAUUAUUUUUUGCUUUUGAUUGUCCAUUUUUAGCAGUUCAUAUAACACCUGCUAUUCCAGUUAUUGGUGGUUUGUUAUUUAUUUUUGUAAUGUCCGCUUUAUUCAGAACAAGUUUUAGUGAUCCUGGUGUUAUUCCAAGAGCAACUCUUGAUGAAGCUGCCUAUAUUGAAAAACAGAUUGAGGUACCGAACAAUGGUAAUUCUAAAAUGUAUAGACCUCCACCUCGAACAAAAGAAGUAUUAGUUAAAGGACAACCAGUAAAAUUAAAAUAUUGUUUUACUUGUAAAAUAUUUAGACCACCAAGAGCUUCACAUUGUAGCUUAUGUGACAACUGUGUAGAGAGAUUUGAUCAUCAUUGUCCAUGGGUCGGAAAUUGUGUUGGUAGGAGGAAUUACAGAUAUUUUUAUGCCUUUAUUGUCUCUUUGGCAUUUCUUUGUGUUUUCAUAUUUGCAUGUGCUGUUACGCACUUAAUAAUGCUCACAAAAGAUGAUAGACCAUUUUUAGAAGCAGUGAGGAUAUCUCCUGGAAGUGUUGUUGUAGCAGUUAUAUGUUUUUUUUCUGUUUGGAGUAUUCUUGGUCUUGCUGGUUUUCAUACAUAUUUAACUACUAGUAAUCAGACAACUAAUGAAGAUAUUAAGGGAUCAUUUUCUAUUAAAACAGGGCAAGAAAGUUUCAAUUUAUAUAGUCAAGGAAAUAUAUGUGGAAAUUGUUUCUAUGUAUUGUGUGGACCAGCGCCACCUAGUUUAAUUGAUCGAAGAGGUAUUGUAACUCCAGAAUAUCGCGCAGAACAAGAAAGAGUUGGUGGUGACAAUGUAAUUACUAAUAAUAAAACUUAUGGUACUGUAAAAAUUAUACAACCACAGUCUAAUGGUACAACUGUUCAAACAAAUCCUAGUCCAGAUCUCACAGGUUCUAUGAACAAUCUUGUUUCUGAUCAACAUUCGUCACAAAUUGAAUCAAUAAAUGGUGAGUUAAAUCUUUUGAGGCACAUUACUCAUUACCCGGAGGAUCUUUCGAAAUAUUCACGAGAGUACAUUGAUGAUACUUAUGUUCCGGCAUAUCCCCGACAAUAUUGUUUUCAGGAUUCCAUAAAACAUGUAAAGUAUGAUACAGAAAUAGAAAAUCCAGAUUUUCAAAGAUAUCCAUGUAGGUGUGAAGAGAAUUUACAUAAAUAUUCUCAUAAAUGUAGGGAAGAAUAUCAUAGAUGUUCGGAUAAUAAUUUAAUAUAUGAUCAUGUUAGUGAUCAAAAAUUUGGUAUUGAUCUUCAGAAAUAUCCGCAAAGAUAUUCUGAAGAUUCUGUACGAUAUAAAAUUAAUGAUAAAUAUUACACUGAUCUUCAAAAAUUUCCACAAUGUUACUCUGAAGAUCCACUACGAAUAUCUCAACUUCAUACUCUUAAAUAUAAUAAUUUGAGAUGCACUGUUCAUGGUUUAAAAUAUCCAAUAUCAAAGAAUCUUUUGCCAACUGUUGUAAUGUCACGAAUAUUAGGAGCAGGAGGAAUGCCAAUUAUUGGUCAAAAUGCAAUAGGACUAGCAGUUAACAGAUUUGGUUCAGGACCUUUAACUAAUGCUUUCUCUUAUGCAGAAAAUUCUUUAUGUCCAAAUGAUAAUAUUGAGGAAGAUCUUUUAAAUCGAAGAUUUAUCAUGAGUUCAAUAAGCGAUAAUGAUGAUAUUUAAUGUUUUUUUUUAUAAUAAUUUCAUACUUACCUUCAUUUUAAACCAAUAUUAUUUUACUUAUUGAAAAAGGAAAAAAUCUAAAUGGCUAUAAUUGUUAGGAAAUAAUUUUAAUGUUAAAAUCAAUAUAUAAAUUCUACUAUUAUUAGUAUAAAAUAAACAAAAUUUUAUUAUGCAUAUAAAUAUUAUUAGCAAAAAUAAUAGUAUUAAAAAAUAUUAAAUAUUAACAAAAGUAAUCAUUAAUCAUGUGAUUGUUUAUACUUUCUUAUAUUAUGACUUAUAUAAUAGAUCUUUAUGGAUAAAAAUAUAAGUUGAAUUUGAUUAUUAUUAAUAUUGUUAUUAAGAUUUAUUUAUUUUUUGAUAAUUUAUUUGGUAUUGAAUAUACAUAUAUAGAUUUUUUUACAUAUAAAGAAAAAGGAAGAAAUUAGUAUUUUUGUUAUAAUAUUAUAUAUUUUGAUUGAAAAAAAAACUAAAAUAUUAAUUUCAUUACAAUUUUUUAAUAUUUUGUAAAAAAUACGCGAAUAAUUAUUUUUUACAUUAUAAUGAAAAUAAAUAGAACACAAUUAUUUUAAAAUAUUAAUCUUAAAGCAUAAAAAAAUUAAUCUAAAUAUAAAUUUGAAUUAUCAUCAAAUAUAAAAUAAUUAAAUUUUUCCUUAUUUAGACAUAUUUUUAUAUGAUUCAAUAAAUUAUAUUUAUUUGUUGUUUAAAAAUUACGUCCUGUAUCGAGGGCUCAGAGCAUACCAUUUGGUAGUACUACAAACAGCGUGAGUCAACUUGUUACCAAUGAAGUACCACUAGCAUCACUUAAUAUAGCUCCAAUUGAUAUCGAUGAAAUUGCUCCGCUGCCUUC